rnacentral:lncRNA from 1 species
CCACACUCUCACACACCACACACCACACAUACCAACUCACACACACUGCCACACUCUCACACACCACACACUACACAUACCAACUCCCACACACACACAGUCACACUCAGACACCACACACCAACUCAAACUCUUACACACGCACACACACUGCCACACUCUAACACACCACACAACACACAUUCCAACUCACACACACACUCUCACACUCACACACCACACACAUCACACAACUCAAACUCACACACACACCUGCCACACUCUCACACCACACACACCACACACAUACAAUACACACUCUCACACCACCCACACACCACACACACAUACACCACCCACACCACUCUCACACACACCAGACAUACUCUCACGCUAACCACACACACCACACACACCCUCAUUCACACACACCCCCACCACACACCACAUACACCACCCACACCACACACACUCUCACACUCACACACCACACAUACUCUCACACUAACCACACACACCCUCAUAUUCACACACACAACCCCACCACACACCACAUAUACCAGCAGUCCCCAGCCUUUUUGGCACCAGGGAUCGGUUUUGUGGAAGACAGGUUUUCUGCAGACGGGAGUGGGCUGGGGGUGGUUUCGGGAU